GAAGUGCUCGAGGGAAUCACCUCCUUACCUUUCCAGUCCCUCUUCCUUAGAUCUUAUUCCCCGUAAAAGCAUGGUUGCUUUGUUUUUGUUAAUGAAAGAGAUUCCUUGUUUCUCUUCUGCUUGGUCUCAUCCCUCCUGAGGCCUCAGCAUUUUGGUCUUCUUGCAAAGCUGCGGCGCGUUUUAUUCGCUUGAUUUGAGUGGAUGUCUUCAUGGUUAUUUGCUCAAAGAGAUGUCUUAUAGUUUAGGUAGCAGCAGCAAGAAUAUGUAAGUGGAACUGCUAACUCUUGUCCCUUCACCUUUUCUUUUACCAUUUCUCUAUUUGUACUUCAUUUUCUAAAUGAAUCAGUUCUAACUUCUUGUUUGUCUUUACGUGGGAAACAAGGGGCAAGAGAUUGAAGAAAGAUGGUAAUUAUGAUGACAAAAUUAGAGGCGUCCUGUUCUUUUUUGAAAAGAAGCAAAGCGAAAUUACAACCAUUGUCAACCAGGUUGGCUUGCAGAGAAGGAAUUGUCAACAAAUCAAAGGAAGAAGUUUUUGGAAAGAGCCAAGUUUAUGCAUCCAUCUGAAGUUGACAAGAGCCAAAUCAAACUAUAGGAAAUUCUUUCAGCUCAGCUUGUAAAGGAAUCCGUGUAAAUAUUUUCAUGAAUGAAAGAAGUUCCACUUCCUUUACUGAGA